rnacentral:rRNA from 1 species
CUUCGGGACUCGUGCACAGGUGCUGCAUGGCUUUCGUCAGCUCGUGCCCUGAGGUGUUGGGUUAAAUUCCCGCACCGAGCGCAACCCUUAUUUUUAGUUGCCAUCGGGUAAUGCCGGGCACUCUAGAGAGACUGCCAGCAUAAGCUGGAGGAAGGUGGGGAUGACGUCAAGUCAGCAUGGGCCUUACGUCCAGGGCUACACACGUGCUACAAUGGCCGGUACAAAGGGCAGCCAACCCGCGAGGGGGAGCGAAUCUCAAAAAACCGGUCUCAGUUCGGAUUGUAGGCUGCAACUCGCCUACAUGAAGUCGGAAUCACUAGUAACCGCAGAUCAGCUACGCUGCGGUGAAUACGUUCCCGGGCCUUGUACACACCGCCCGUCACGUUAUGAAAGUUUGUUGUACCCGAAGUCGCUGGGCUAACCGCAAGGAGGCAGGCGCCGAAGGUAUGAUAGAUGAUUGGAACGAAGUCGUAACAAGGUAACC